CCGGCCGCUGGCAACAUCGGUCCAAUCCUUAAAGUCAUCCUCAGUUCGGACUGGGGUCUGCAACCCGACCCCACGAAGCUGGAUUCGCUAGUAAUCGCGCAUCAGCCAUGGCGCGGUGAAUACGUUCCCGGGCCUUGUACACACCGCCCGUCAAGCCAUGAAAGCCGGGGGCGCCUGAAGUCCGUGACCGCGAGGGUCGGCCUAGGGUGAAACCGGUGAUUGGGGCUAAGUCGUAACAAGGUAUC
rnacentral:rRNA from 1 species